rnacentral:lncRNA from 1 species
GGCAUAUAAAAUCCUUUCAUACUCUAACAUGAUCUUCAACUUUCGAUACUAGCUAUCGAAGUUAGGUCCGGUGAGCUUGUCGCUAUCCAACAGCAUAGGGAGGGAUAGUGUGUUGGCUAUAACUGAAAGGAGAAAAUACUAGUCUAUUAGUAUAUGAAUUAUUUUUAAUCCUGAAGACAUAGACUUUAGUCUAAAGGUUCUCCCACU